rnacentral:piRNA from 1 species
UCUUUCAACUGGAUUUAGUUU